AACCNANNCUAAUACCGGAUAGGAUCUUCUCCUUCAUGGGAAAUGAUUGAAAGAUGGUUUCGGCUAUCACUUACAGAUGGGCCCGCGGUGCAUUAGCUAGUUGGUGAGGUAACGGCUCACCAAGGCAACGAUGCAUAGCCGACCUGAGAGGGUGAUCGGCCACACUGGGACUGAGACACGGCCCAGACUCCUACGGGAGGCAGCAAUAGGGAAUCUUCCGCAAUGGACGAAAGUCUGACGGAGCAACGCCGCGUGAGUGAUGAAGGCUUUCGGGUCGUAAAACUCUGUUGUUAGAGAAGAACAAGUACGAGAGUAACUGCUCGUACCUUGACGGUACCUAACCAGAAAGCCACGGCUAACUACGUGCCAGCAGCCGCGGUAAUACGUAGGUGGCAAGCGUUAUCCGGAUUAUUGGGCGUAAAGCGCGCGCAGGCGGUUUCUUAGGUCUGAUGUGAAAGCCCACGGCUCA
rnacentral:rRNA from 2 species